rnacentral:rRNA from 1 species
ACGAACGCUGGCGGCGCGCAUUACGCAUGCAAGUCGAGCGCCCCGGCUUCGGUCGGGGAGCGGCGGACGGCUGAGUAACGCGUAGGUAACCUGCCCGCAAGUGGGGGAUAACCCGCCGAAAGGCGGGCUAAUACCGCAUAUGGCCCUGGGGUGAAACCCCCCAGCGUCAAAGCCGCAAGGUGCUUGCGGAGGGGCCUGCGUCCUAUCAGGUAGUUGGCGGGGUAACGGCCCACCAAGCCUGUGACGGGUAGCUGGUCUGAGAGGACGGCCAGCCAGACGGGGACUGAGACACGGCCCCGACUCCUACGGGAGGCAGCAGCGAGGAAUCUUGGGCAAUGCCCGCAAGGGUGACCCAGCGACGCCGCGUGGGGGAAGAAGGCCUUCGGGUUGUAAACCCCUUUUGCCGGGGAAGAAGCUCUGACGGUACCCGGCGAAUAAGCCACGGCUAACUACGUGCCAGCAGCCGCGGUAAUACGUAGUGGCUAGCGUUGUCCGGAUUUACUGGGCGUAAAGGGCGUGUAGGCGGCCUGUUAAGUCCGCUGUGAAAUCUCCCGGCCCAACCGGGAGGGGCCCAGCGAAUACUGGCAGGCUAGAGGGGGGCAGAGGAAGGUGGAAUUCCCGGUGUAGCGGUGAUAUGCGUAGAUAUCGGGAGGAACACCCGUGGCGAAGGCGGCCUUUCUGGGCCUCUCCUGACGCUGAGGCGCGAAAGCGUGGGGAGCGAACCGGAUUAGAUACCCGGGUAGUCCACGCCCUAAACGUUGGACACUUGGUGUGGGGAGUUUCGACCCUCUCUGUGCCGGAGCUAACGCCUUAAGUGUCCCGCCUGGGGAGUACGGCCGCAAGGCUAAAACUCAAAGGAAUUGACGGGGGCCCGCACAAGCGGCGGAGCGUGUGGUUUAAUUCGAUGCAACGCGAAGAACCUUACCAGGGCUUGACAUGCCGGUAGUACUGACUCGAAAGAGAAGGGACCCUUCGGGGAGCCGGCACAGGUGCUGCAUGGCUGUCGUCAGCUCGUGCCGUGAGGUGUUGGGUUAAGUCCCGCAACGAGCGCAACCCCCGCCGUCAGUUGCAUCUCUCUGACGGGACCGCUGGGAUAAACCCAGAGGAAGGUGGGGAUGACGUCAAGUCAGCAUGGCCCUUACGCCCUGGGCUACACACACGCUACAAUGGGCGGUACAAAGGGUAGCCACGGCGCAAGCCGGAGCUAAUCCCGAAAAGCCACCCCCAGUUCAGAUUACAGGCUGCAACUCGCCUGCAUGAAGGCGGAGUCGCUAGUAACCGCAGGUCAGCACACUGCGGUGAAUACGUUCUCGGGCCUUGUACACACCGCCCGUC